rnacentral:rRNA from 1 species
GACGAAGGUGGCGAGCGUUGUUCGGAAUCACUGGGCGUAAAGGGCGCGUAGGUGGCGCGGGAAGUCAACGGUGAAAGUUCAGGGCUCAACCCUGAAUCGGCCGUCGAUACUCCCGGGCUUGAGCACUGUAGAGGCAGAUGGAAUUCCGGGUGUAGCGGUGGAAUGCGUAGAUAUCGAGAGGAACACCUGCGGCGAAGGCGGGUUGCUGGGCUGACACUGACGCUGACAGCGCGAAAGCUAGGGGAGCGAACGGG